CCAUCUACCUCCCAUCCGCUCCCGCUCUGUCUUGUCCUCGCAUUCGACUGGCGUAGGGCGGCAGAGAAAAUCAGGUUAAGUUCGGAAUCGAGAGGAGAAAAAGUUGCGAUUCAAUGGGGGUUCUGAAGUUUUUGGUGAUUUCGGUUCUUUUCGCGAUGAUGAUAGCUGGGAUCAGAUCGGAGGAUGAGGCGACGGUUAAUCAUGUGGAUGAUGCUGUAGGAGCCGAGGAGUCGGAUUCAGUUCUUAAGAUUGAGAUCGAGCAGCUCAGGUCGAAGAUCACUUCUCUAGAGUCUUCAACUUUGGAGAAAGCGAAGGAGUUGAAAAACAAGGAUGAGAAGAUUGAACAGUUGGAGAGGGAAAUUGAGGAGAAGUCGUCUAUUGUCGCGUCGCUGCAGAGUGAGGUAGAACUAUUACAGAAAAAGGGGGCUGUGGAUGCAGAGGAAUUAGUGGGAAAAGCCCGUGCACAUUCCAAUGAACUUGAGAAGAAGAUUGAGAAGCUUAAAAAUGAACUAUUGGAGCAAGUUAAUAAAAAAGAUGCCUUGGAAAGGCGAACUAUGGAAGCAGAAGAGAAGGUGCAGGAACUGCAUGUGAAAUUGGAAAAUCUUGAGAAGAUAAAUGUUGAGCAGAAGCUUAAAAUUCAGAAAACAGAACGAGCUAUUAAAGUAGUUGAGGAAGAGCUGAUGAAGGCGCAAUUGGAGCAAAUUUCCAAGUCAAAAGACUUAAAAGAGGUUCAUGGAGCUUGGCUGCCACCUUGGCUUUCAAAUCAUAUAGUUCGUUGUCAGGAAAUUGUAGCAGUACACUGGAGUGAGCAUGGGGAAUCUACUUUUAAUGUUUUAGUUCAAAAGAUUUCAAAGAAAUCAGACCAGGCACAGAAGUGGGUUAAGCCACAUUUGGAAACUGCAAAAACAAAGUGGAUCCCUAUUGUGAAGACAAAAUUGGUAGCAUUUUCAAACAAUGUUAAACCUCACAUUGAAAAGUUAUCUACCAAAACAGUUGAAGUAAUUGAAGUAUGCCGAAGUACUGCCACGCCACAUGUUGUGAAGCUCCAAGAGUUGUCUGAUCCUUAUAUUCAGGACUUGAGGAAAUUUUCCAAGCCCUAUAUUGAGCAAGUUGCUACUUUUACCAAGCCUCAUGUUGAGAAAGCGCGCACUAUUUUGAAACCAUACACAAGAAGGGUUCUUUAUGGCUACGGAAAGUUUCUGGAAACUGCUGGAACUUAUCAUCAUCAGAUUCAAGAAACUGUUCAGCAGAAUCUCCAGAAGCAUGAAUUGACCAAGCAUCUGGCAACUAAAGAGUUGAUCUGGUUUGUGGCCUCGGGAUCAUUGGCGCUACCAAUAUUUCUGCUUUACAGGAUGGUAUCAUCCACUUUUGGCAAAAAAGCUACAAAAUCUGUUCGGGGUGGUCGUUCGCAUAACCAUCGUAGGCACAAGCGCAGGCAUGCAGAUCAAUAGAGAAAUAGUGUACUUGGAUAUCUGUAAUGGGUGUAUCUAUGAGCUGAGGAGAAAAUGAGAAGAUGCAAAGACUUGUAGCAACCAAGAUUUUGAUGACUGUAAAAGGAGGAAAGACGAUACCAUAUUCUUCAGACCGCAGGUUCUGGUGGGGUGAGUCUGAAGCAUCUUUUUUUUUUCUUUUAAUGGGUCCGUAUAUUUUUCUCCGAAAGGACUUACGAUUAAAUCAUAUAUUUUUGUUCUAAUUUAAUAUAAGAAGCCAUAUUAUUGUUGUAGCAAACAAUGUAAAAAGAUGAGGUGUGGCUUUCAUGGGUUAUUGAAUUGUUAUUUAUAGCAUCUACUUAAUUUUUCAUGCA